rnacentral:lncRNA from 1 species
UCAUGGCUAAAAAUUGUGAAAUAAUUACCAUUGUCAAUGAAAUAUAUGUGAACAAGGUUGGAACACAACUCCUUCAGCAUUAGGAAAUUCUUUGUCGACCUCCAUUCUCUUUAACAAUACCAUAUAUGACUUACUAGGACAUACACCCUUCCUUGAACAUUUACAUCACACUUUUCAAUCCUCCUUUUUGACUAUGGGCCACUCCUCUUUGUUUUCUCCCUUUUCAUAUGCCUACUUUUUGCUUCCAUUGUUCACCCACUUUCUUCUAUUUCUUUUUCUUGCAAUUUUAUGAGAUUCUUUCCUUUGUUGAACCCUUGCUUUUUGUCGUCAUUUGUCUUCAAUGAUUAAGUACUUGACAUUUAACUUACAACUUUGUGGCCCCAUACUUACUUUCA